AGAGUUUGAUCAUGGCUCAGAUUGAACGCUGGCGGCAUGCCUUACACAUGCAAGUCGAGCGGCAGCGCGGGGGCAACCCUGGCGGCGAGCGGCGAACGGGUGAGUAAUGCAUCGGAACGUGUCCUCUUGUGGGGGAUAACCAGUCGAAAGACUGGCUAAUACCGCAUGAGAUCGAGAGAUGAAAGCAGGGGACCGCAAGGCCUUGCGCGAGAGGAGCGGCCGAUGCCGGAUUAGCUAGUUGGUGGGGUAAAAGCCUACCAAGGCGACGAUCCGUAGCUGGUCUGAGAGGACGACCAGCCACACUGGGACUGAGACACGGCCCAGACUCCUACGGGAGGCAGCAGUGGGGAAUUUUGGACAAUGGGGGCAACCCUGAUCCAGCCAUGCCGCGUGUGUGAAGAAGGCCUUCGGGUUGUAAAGCACUUUCGGCCGGAACGAAAUCGCGCGAGCUAACACCCCGCGUGGAUGACGGUACCGGAAGAAGAAGCACCGGCUAAUUA
rnacentral:rRNA from 1 species